rnacentral:misc_RNA from 1 species
CACCGUGCAGCGAUGUAUCGCGAACACCAACGACGCGUCGCGACGCUUGUUUGCUUUUAGCCGUCUUGGUGGCUUUUACCUCUUUGUAUGACAUUUGCUCCCCAGGAAUCUCAUAGGAUUAAUUAAUUAAUUAUAAGUAUCAACGAAAUCGUAAGUAAUUUUAUUUUGUCAUAUAAAAUGUUACACAGAAUUUAGUCAAAUCAACAAAACUAAUUUAGCUCGCUAGUUAGGAAAAACCCCGAUAAUCGCGAGUUCGCCAACAACGAAUGCCAGUACCGGCGAGAAUAGAAAUUAAAUUGGCCUUUAUUGGGAAUUCCUGGUCGUCGAUGGUUAUCGAACGAUUUUGCUUUUAAAUAACUCGUUUUUUUUCGGUACGUAUACGAUGAGGUGACUCGCACCCGUAGACAUUAGACGGGAUGUCACCAGUCGCUCUGCAGCUCAUGCGAUUGUACUUAUAUUACUUAUAUCGGUUGACGUACGACAACAUAAUAUUAUAAUAUGACGUAUAACGUUUUUUUUUUUUUUUAUUGAAUUACUUAAUACUACAUCUUUCUUCGGUUUUUUUCUUCAUUUUAGUCACCAAUGUUUUCUUGUUCGAUUCGGGUUUAGGUGUCGAAGUAGUAGGUAUCACGUUUAACAAUAGGAAUAACUGCACCAAAUAAAUCCGUGUAUUCGUCGGAUGACUGGGCGUCUUCGAUCAUUUUCAAUUGAAAUUCAAAUGAGUCAAAGAUUCAAUAUCAAAUGGGUCCGACGAGAGUGUAUACGUCUUGGCAGCGGAUCAUUUUCUGUUUUUAUGAGGAUAUGGGAUUCGACUUCCAGACAUAGUAGUAGUGUCUUCCGCUGUCGCUCCACUGUGACGGAUCAUACGUUAUUUGUUCUCGACCGGCGGGAAAAAAGAAUAUUGCUCUGGAUCCACCAAGGCAGACAUGGGUUUUUAAAUGGAUCGACUGAAACCCGCGAUCAAGCUCAUCGGCAACAUACCAAUUUAUCCAUUUUUUGGUGUGACCCACAUACGCAGCUCAAGUUAAGCACCGUCGCCUCCAGAUAACC